AUGGCCUGGUGCCCUCUGCUCCUCAUGCUCAUCUCUCAUUGCACAGGAUCCUGGGCCCAGUCUGUGCUGACCCAGCCACAGUCAGUCUCAGGGAACCUGGGCCAGAGGGUCACCAUCUCCUGCACUGGAAGCAGCAACAACAUUGGGAGUAAUUAUGUGAACUGGUACCAACAGCUCUCAGGAACAGCCCCCAAACUCCUGAUACAUGGUAGCAGCAAUCGACCCUCCGGGGUCCCUGAUCGAUCCUCUGGCUCCAAGUCUGGCAGCUCAGCCACCCUGACCAUCACUGGGCUCCAGCCUGAGGACGAGGCUGAUUAUCACUGUACAAGUUGGGACAGCAGCCUGAGUGGUCCCACAUGGAUGGGUGGUGGCACUAGAGGAACUGUCAUUUUUCCUUGCACUCAGACCCCAGGCCGCACUCUACACAUGCUGAUCUACAACACAAAUAACCGCCCCUCUGGAGUCCCAAAUCGCUUCUCAGGCUCCAUUUCUGGAAAUAAAGCCGCCCUCACCAUCAGUGGGGCUCAGACCAAGCAUAAGGCCGAGUAUCACUGUGUACUGUACAUGGGAGUUGACCAGGAGAGCCCCCAGCUCCCCAGCUCAGAGACUCCUGCACCCCAGGAAGACUUAUUCAAAGAGCACUAA